GGAUGUUUGAAGCAACCUUCGUAUGAAUGAAAGCUUGACAGAAAUGGCAGCAGUUUCUGAAUUAUUAUAAUAUAUUCCAGAGACAUGCCAAUUCGGGAGUUCACAAUGCAGCUGUUGUUUCUAGGGGAAUGAGAAAUUAUUUUACCAAUUUAUGCAAAGGACUAUUAAAAAGGUGGCAGACGAAUUAAAAAUACCUCCAUAAAAAGGAAAGUUAAUUGCUCCAUAAAAUGACUCACUGAGUGGUUCAAAAGUCUUCUCAUGCAUAAAUAUCAAAGUUUUACUGUUUGGGUAUUUUUUGUUUGCUCCCUCAUACUGAAACAAUACUUCUCGCAGGCCAGUACCUCCAGAAAUAGUAGUAGAUGUAUAAUUGGACAUUAUUAAACAAAUCUCCUGCUCUUAGCUUCCCGGAAUUCUGGGAACUGAAAGGCAGAUCUUCAUUUCCAUUUUCUGGAUUUACCCGUGGACAUUUGGUCAAAGUAUUCAUUAUGUGCCUACUCUUCACUUUACCUUUGGGACUGUCAGGGGCAUAACUUUCCUGGAGAAAGGAUCUCUAGUCACCAAAACCAUGUAUGCAUACUUUCAAAUUCACUGUGUAGGAAGACUUUUCUCAGUUUCUCAGCAAAAUCUUCAUGACUUCACUCUGAAAUGAUUAUUUCUCAUUCUGCUUGUGAAGGACGUGGAGAAAACAGAUCCCUCGCCUAACCACAGCAGCUUUCUGUCGGCGAGCACUUUAUUCCAACAGUCUUUAAUCGUCAAAACUUUGCUGAAAACAUCAAGAGUUAUAUGAAGACACACUUGACCUGAAGUGAAGUAUCAGGAGUUUUUAAACAUUAAACUUAUAGUGUAUAUUAGUAUGAAACUAAGUUGAGCAGAACCCAUUAAUGUCACAGUGAUCGGUUACCAAUGGAAAUAAAUAAUUCAUGAUGAAGGGAAUUAGUCUAAUUAGCAGGCAGUUUGAGUCCUUUGAUAAAACCCAGCUCUAAUUCCGUGAAGGGCAGGAAGUGCUGUCAUCAGUCAGCCCUGAAAAGAUUAGCAUCUAUUAUGAAUGAGGUUAGACACCCUAGUGAAGUCAUGUGUGUCCUGGAGACAAACUUAAUAUGUUCCAGAAUGGGACACAGUUUGUCUCACCAACACAUCAUGAUUCCUACUGGGCUAUUGUAUGUAAUAACAAGCAAAGAUCAGUGCUCCUUCUUAUCAUUCUCCCCCUGUCCAUCAUUCUGACAACUGUGCAAAUACAUUUUCCAUGCAAAGCAGGGAAUGUGCCCUGAAUACAUGUAAAAUUGCAUGAGAUGUCAAAGAAAAUGUGUUGCCUUUUCUCAACAACGUAAAACCAAACCAACCAAAAUACCAGUGAACUAAAGAAUGCUUAAAACACAUCUGGCAAAUACGUGGGGUGUACUGGGAGGUGUAUCGGCGCAGAAGUGUAUUGAUUCCAUUUGGAAACACUAUUGCCGUCUGUCACGAGAUGCACUGAUAAAGCUGUGCUUUGCUGUGAAUGAUAGCAGGGCUUCAAAAAUAAGUGGUGACGCUAUAGGUUUACAGUAUUGGGUGGAUGUAUAAAAGUAAAGUAGCAACCUGAAAAAUACCUGGAGUUCUGGAGUUAAGGUCAAAGAAAUAGAAAAGAUCCUUGUGCAUUUUCAUUUAGAGGAGACUAGCUGUGAGCUGUGCAAGCUUCACAGUUUUGUACUAUAUGCUGAUGCAACAUCAGCUGUGUUUCCAUUUUUGCUUAUGAGCCUUUUGAAAUUAUAUGUUUCCGUUUUGCAAUUUGAUGCAAUAAUGAAGAAACUCCACAUUU
rnacentral:lncRNA from 7 species